UACGUAGGGGGCAAGCGUUGUCCGGAAUCAUUGGGCGUAAAGCGCGUGUAGGCGGCCCGGUAAGUCCGCUGUGAAAGUCCAGGGCUCAACCCUGGAAUGCCGGUGGAUACUGUCGGGCUCGAGUCCGGAAGAGGCGAGUGGAAUUCCUGGUGUAGCGGUGAAAUGCGCAGAUAUCAGGAGGAACACCAAUUGCGAAGGCAGCUCGCUGGGACGUUACUGACGCUGAGACGCGAAAGCGUGGGGAGCAAACAGG
rnacentral:rRNA from 1 species